GAGGGUAUAGCUCAAGUGGUAGAGCACCUGCUUUGCAUGAGGUCCUGGGUUCAAUCCCCAGUACCUCCU
rnacentral:tRNA from 1 species